UGAUAUGACAUUAUAUAUGAACAGAAAAGUUUCAAAAAUCAUGGACGUGAUAAGCUGCGAUAAGCUUCGGGGAGUUGCACGUAAACUUUGAUCCGAAGAUUUCCGAAUGAGGAAACUCACUUAGAGUAAUGUCUAAGUAUCGUAUGAUGAAUACAUAGUCAUGCGAGGGGAACCCGGAGAACUGAAACAUCUAAGUACCCGGAGGAAGAGAAAGAAAUUCGAUUCCGUAAGUAGCGGCGAGCGAACGCGGAACAGGCCAAACCAGUGAAGUUUUCUUCGCUGGGGUUGCGGACAUAUCAUAACGAAGAGGUAUCGUAGAAGAAGAGAGUUGGAAAGCUCCGCCAUAGAUGGUAACAGCCCAGUAUUUUAAACGAGAAGACUUUAGAUAUGAUCCAGAGUACCACGGGACACGUGAAACCCUGUGGGAAGCAGGAGGGACCAUCCUCCAAGCCUAAAUACUACCUAGUGACCGAUAGCGUAUAGUACCGUGAGGGAAAGGUGAAAAGAACCCCGGGAGGGGAGUGAAAGAGAACCUGAAACCCUGCACUUACAAGCUGUAGGAGCACAUUAUUUGUGUGACUGCGUACUUUUUGUAGAACGGGCCAACGAGUUACGUUGUGUAGCAAGGUUAAGCACUUAAGGUGUGGAGCCGUAGCGAAAGCGAGUCUUAAAUGGGCGUCCAGUUACCCGACGUAGACCCGAAACCAGGCGACCUAUCCAUGAGCAGGUUGAAGCGAAAGUAAAAUUUCGUGGAGGACCGAACCCACGUACGUUGAAAAGUGCGGGGAUGACUUGUGGAUAGCGGUGAAAUUCCAAUCGAGCCUGGAGAUAGCUGGUUCUCCCCGAAAUAGCUUUAGGGCUAGCCUCAAGCUUAGAGAAACGGAGGUAGAGCACUGAAUGUCCUAGGGGGUAUUGCACUUACCGAAGACUAUCAAACUCCGAAUGCCGUAUUCUUUUGCUUGGGAGUCAGACUAUGGGUGAUAAGAUUCAUAGUCAAGAGGGCAACAGCCCAGAUCGUCAGCUAAGGUCCCUAAAUGUAAGUUAAGUGGUAAAGGAUGUGGAAUUGCACAGACAACCAGGAUGUUGGCUUAGAAGCAGCCACUCAUUUAAAGAGUGCGUAAUAGCUCACUGGUCGAGUGAUUCUGCGCCGAAAAUUUCCGGGGCUAAAACUUACUACCGAAGCUACGGCAUCAUUAUGAUGGGUAGGGGAGCUUUCUAUGCGGCUUGAAGCAUGACCGUAAGGACAUGUGGACUGCAUAGAAGUGAGAAUGUUGGCAUGAGUAGCGAGAUGUGGGUGAGAAUCCCACAGGCCGUAAACCCAAGGUUUCCAGGGGAAGGUUCGUCCGCCCUGGGUUAGUCAGGACCUAAGCCGAGGCCGAAAGGCGUAGGUGAUGGACAACAGGUUGAUAUUCCUGUACCACCAAUAACCGUUUGAGAAAUGGGAUGACACAGUAGGAUAAGCUAACCGCACUGUUGGUUAUGUGCGGGCAAGUAUUGAGGCAGUUCCGAUAGGCAAAUCCGUCGGAAUAAUGCUGGGGUACGAUGCGGAGCGAAAUUUAGUAGCGAAGUAGCUGAUUUCACACUGUCGAGAAAAGUCUCUAUCGAGGUUAAAGGUGCCUGUACCGCAAACCGACACAGGUGGGUGAGGAGAGUAUCCUAAGGCCAGCGAGAGAACUGUUGUUAAGGAACUCGGCAAAAUGACCCCGUAACUUAGGGAGAAGGGGUGCCUUCGAAAGAAGGCCGCAGAGAAUAGGCCCAAGCGACUGUUUACCAAAAACAUAGGUUUCUGCUAAGUCGCAAGACGAUGUAUAGGAGCUGACGCCUGCCCGGUGCUGGA
rnacentral:rRNA from 1 species